rnacentral:rRNA from 1 species
UACGGGGGGUGCGAGCGUUGUCCGGAAUCACUGGGCGUAAAGGGCGCGUAGGUGGCUUGAUAAGGGUGUGGUGAAAGUCCGGGGCUCAACCCCGGAUCUGCCGUGCCGACUGUCAAACUCGAGGACUGUAGAGGCAGACGGAAUUCCGGGUGUAGCGGUGGAAUGCGUAGAGAUCCGGAGGAAGACCGGUGGCGAAGGCGGUCUGCUGGGCAGUUUCUGACACUGAGGCGCGACAGCGUGGGGAGCAAACAGG